rnacentral:rRNA from 1 species
AGUGAACGCUGGCGGUAGGCCUAACACAUGCAAGUCGAACGGCAGCACAGUAAGAGCUUGCUCUUACGGGUGGCGAGUGGCGGACGGGUGAGGAAUACAUCGGAAUCUACUUUUUCGUGGGGGAUAACGUAGGGAAACUUACGCUAAUACCGCAUACGACCUACGGGUGAAAGCAGGGGAUCUUCGGACCUUGCGCGAUUGAAUGAGCCGAUGUCGGAUUAGCUAGUUGGCGGGGUAAAGGCCCACCAAGGCGACGAUCCGUAGCUGGUCUGAGAGGAUGAUCAGACACACUGGACCUGAGACACGGUCCAGACUCCUACGGGAGGCAGCAGUGGGGAAUAUUGGACAAUGGGCGCAAGCCUGAUCCAGCCAUACCGCGUGGGUGAAGAAGGCCUUCGGGUUGUAAAGCCCUUUUGUUGGGAAAGAAAAGCAGCAGGUUAAUACCCCGCUGUUCUGACGGUACCCAAAGAAUAAGCACCGGCUAACUUCGUG